GUCGAUUCCAAUUAUUUCAGUACAAUUUUCAUGGAGGCUGGUACAGCUGUUAUGCAGCAGGUACAAAUCAGUGAGGCAGUAUUGGAAAAACAUGUAUACUCUGUUUGGGCUCUGCCGAGGGAGGAGGUGAGAGUUAGGGUGAAGAAGUUGAUGGAGGGUCUCCGAUCGGAAUUUGGUGGGCCUCAGUUUGAACCUCACGUGACCGUCAUCGGAGCUAUUCGGUUGACGGAGGCUGAGGCACGUGACAGGUUCAAAAAAGCUUGUGAGACAGUGAAAGCUUAUAGUGCUACAGUGGAGAAGAUUGAUAGUGGCACUUUCUAUUAUCAGUGUGUUUACCUUUUGCUUCAUCCAACCACUGAGGUUGUGGAAGCAAGUGCUCUCUGCUGCAGUCACUUUGGUUACAACAGAUCGGGAUCAUAUAUGCCACAUUUGAGCCUUCUUUACGGAGAUUUAACCGAUGAAGAAAAGAAGAAAGCUCAAGAAAAGGCUUAUAUCCUCGACGAGGGCAUUUCCAGCUUGAGCUUCCCGAUAUCUCAUCUUGCAUUGUGUAAAACAGACACUGAAGAUAAAAGCUGCAAAUCAUGGGAGACAGUGGAGGAGUGCUCUCUUCAGCCAUAACUAGCAUGCUAAAAGCUAAUAAUUUGUUGGCCAUGAGCCGAAUCUCAUCUCGUUUACAUUUUUACCUUACACACCUUGAACUGCAGCUGCAGCCUGCAAGGUUGAACUUUGCAAAAGUUGUAUUACUCUUUUUAUGUGCUAUAAAUAAG
rnacentral:misc_RNA from 1 species